rnacentral:misc_RNA from 1 species
UUAAGUUCAGCGGGUAUUCCUACCUGAUCCGAGGUCAACCUUGAUAAGAUGGGUGCGAGGCAAGCCCACGCCGGACGCCCUGAGCGAGAAGAAACUACUGCGCUCGGAGACCUAGCGUGUCCGCCACUGGAUUUAAGGGACUGCAGGCGCAGAGCCCCAACACCAAGCCAGGCUUGAGGGUUGAAAUGACGCUCGAACAG